UUGCUUUAGGGAAUUUUGCAGGGGAAAAAAAGAAAUGACAUGUGGGAAGAAGGCCUUUCCCAUUGCUGACCUAACGCCAUCAUCUCAUGGACAAAGACCGUAAUUAGCGCGCUUUGACGGCGCGGGCUUGCAAAUGUGGCAUGUUCAUUAUCGCACCACUACUGCAGCCACUAUGCAUUUAUCUCUUCUAGUAGGUCUUUCUCACCGCAGGCUCGCCGUGUACGGUUUAGAUGGGAGAGAGAGAGAGGGGCUACAGACGAUUCCAGUUACCUUGACACCCUAAUAGACUGCCUUUCCUCAACCAGUGCAAUCGAGCAAACCAGUGGAGCAAAAAUCAUUAGGGCCGUCCUUAGGGGGGUGCAACUGGUGCGGCCACACCGGGCCAUGCGGCGAAUGGACCCCGGAACGCAGUGCCUCAAGCGAUCGUCCGAGUUUUCUCAACCCAUAUGCUACAUUUAAUACCUGCUGCGACAAAGAUUAUUAGUUACAUGCAACUGUCAUUAAAAAUUGAUUUAUUCACCCUCUGCAGGGAGCGGUUCUGCCCUCCUGAUCACAAGAGUGUGCCUUAACAGUAUGGUGGGCUUUCUCACAACGCAACCCCAUACACUUAAUAUAAAAAAUGUCAAAAUGUGUUGCAUUUGCAUAGUUCAUACCUACUCAA